UAGGGAAUCUUCCACAAUGGGCGAAAGCCUGAUGGAGCAACGCCGCGUGCGUGAUGAAGGGUUUCGGCUCGUAAAACACUGUUGUAAGAGAAGAAUGACAUUGAGAGUAACUGUUCAAUGUGUGACGGUAUCUUACCAGAAAGGAACGGCUAAAUACGUGCCAC
rnacentral:rRNA from 1 species